CGCGAAGCGCACGGAGGAGGCGGUGCGAGCGGCUGUCCGAGCCGAGGGCGUCCGCCCAGACGGCCACCGUCGCUUGAGCGCGCGGUGCGUGAGCUCAGGCUCGUAUUGCUGACAAACGGCGAGUGGACGAAGGCUGGAGGGGGCGACACCGGCUGCAGCGCUCGAGGGAGUAAGAAGACAGGGAGUGAAGAGCUGCCUCAUUUUCAGAGAGAAUAGGGGCACUGAGAGCUUGGAGGGACGGCGGUAGCUGUCACAGUGUUUUGUCCUGAAUUUUUUACCUCUUGGAAUCCAGGAUGGACCCCUUCCCCACCCCGCCAGCUGGAUGAGUGAUCACAGUGGAAUAAUGAUGCCAGGAGGCUCAGAGGUCUCUGGAUGCAAAGGUGCUCUGCUGGGUGGUUUUAAACAGGAACCUGUGGAUCAGACUAAAGUGUGACCACCAGGAAAUGAAGACACGGGACGAGCCCUGGGUCAUGAAUGUCCAAGUCCGGCAUCAGUCCCAGCCAGAGGAGGAGAGUGAGGUUGGUCCCUGCAGGACCGCUAGCCAGCCUCGUCCACAAGCAGCUUCUUGCUGUGAAACAAAAGCAGAGACAGACUGAGGGAACCGAGGAGCAGCUUAAUGGAGGAAAAAA